AACGAACGCUGGCGGCAGGCCUAAAACAUGCAAGUCGAACGGGUGUAGCAAUACAUCAGUGGCGCACGGGUGAGUAACGCGUGGGAACGUGCCCUUCAGUACGGGACAACGUCGGGAAACUGACGCUAAUACCGUAUAAUGACUCCGGUCCAAAGAUUUAUCGCUGAAGGAGCGGCCCGCGUCUGAUUAGCUAGUUGGUGAGGUAAUGGCUCACCAAGGCUACGAUCAGUAGCAGGUCUGAGAGGAUGAUCUGCCACACUGGGACUGAGACACGGCCCAGACUCCUACGGGAGGCAGCAGUUAGGAAUAUUGGACAAUGGGCGAAAGCCUGAUCCAGCCAUGCCGCGUGUGUGAUGAAGGCCCUAGGGUUGUAAAGCACUUUCGUUGGGGAUGAUAAUGACCGUACCCAAGAAGAAGCACCGGCUAACUUCGUGCCAGCAGCCGCGGUAAA
rnacentral:rRNA from 1 species